rnacentral:rRNA from 1 species
CCUACGGGGGGCUGCAGUGGGGAAUAUUGGACAAUGGGGGCAACCCUGAUCCAGCCAUGCCGCGUGUGUGAAGAAGGCCUUUUGGUUGUAAAGCACUUUAAGCAGGGAGGAGAGGCUAAUGGUUAAUACCCAUUAGAUUAGACGUUACCUGCAGAAUAAGCACCGGCUAGCUCUGUGCCAGCAGCCGCGGUAAUACAGAGGGUGCGAGCGUUAAUCGGAAUUACUGGGCGUAAAGCGAGGGUAGGUGGGUCAUUAAGUCACAUGUGAAAUCCCCGGGCUUAACCUGGGAACUGCAUGUGAUACUGGUGGUGCUAGAAUAUGUGAGAGGGAAGUAGAAUUCCAGGUGUAGCGGUGAAAUGCGUAGAGAUCUGGAGGAAUACCGAUGGCGAAGGCAGCUGCCUGGCAUAAUAUUGACACUGAGAUUCGAAAGCGUGGGUAGCAAACAGGAUUAGAUACCCCAGUAGUC